ensembl:lncRNA
CCUUAAGCAUCAAAUCAACAUAUCAGUGUCAUAAUUCCUGUAAUAAUGCAAUAGUUUCUGUUCUUUGUUCAGUUCUUGUCCUUGUUUGUUCCUGUGGUUUCCACUGUUUGUCUCUUUGACGAUUAAUGCACCAGUCUCUUUUCCAGUUUGCAAACAUGACAAACUUUCGUCAUAAACAUAACAACUGAAGUGAUUUCUGCAGGAUCGCGUGACACUGGAGACAUGAUGCUAAAAAUUCAGGAAUUACGUACAAUUCAAAAAUCAUUAUUUGCUGUUUUUACUGUUUCUUUUUUGCAGCCCGGUUAAAAUCGUGACAAAUGACACACAGUCUUUUUGCUCUGAGUUUUAACUCAUUUAUUUGUAUGCAUUUUUCAGAAAGCAAGACUUAAUAUCUUAAGCCAUUCUCUAGAGGUGGUGUUUGUGCAAGAAAAGCAAAACAUGCUCGUCAGACUUGUCUCUCCUCUCGCUCGGUUCAGUGCCAGUGCUUUUGUUUUUCCAUCUCUCCAACAGGAGGGUCAUCGGCUGGUCAGGUCCAAAUGAGAAAUAUUUGGCUCGUUCCUCUGGCGGCCGCUCAGAUCCAGCCUUUUACUGUUUCUCCCGCAGCGAACGAUGCCAAAGUGGAUGUUCUCUGAUGGACUGGAGUGCUGUGGAUUAUUGUGAUGUUUUUAUCAGACUCUCAUUCUGACGGCACCCAUUCACUGCAGAGCAACUGAUGCAAUGCUACAUUUCUCCAAAUCUGAUGAAGAAACAAACUCACCCAGAUCUUGGAUGACCUGAGGGUGAGCACAUUUUCAGCACAUUUUCAUUUUAGGCUGUUUGCAUCCUCUAUAAUAUUCGAUUGUUAUGAUUAUGAUGUUUUGAAUCCCAGCCCUACAGUCUCUACAGGAAGUACUUCCCACUUCCUGUCCAGCUCUUCUGCCCUGAUUCUCCGAUGCUUUUGACCCCGAUCAUGUCUGACCUCUGUCUCUGGCUCUCAGAGGAUGUUAUGAAACACAUGAGUCAGUUUUGGGUCUGCUGUGAGAACUACUAAUCACAUCAGUGUGAGCGAGACGGUUAUGCAACUACGCACUGAGUUCUUCUGAAUCUGCCGUGUUUUUGUUUGGAUAGUUGAUAAAUCUCCCCUGAAGGCAGAAAGAUUUAAAGUUUUAGCUCAUAUUUAUUUAAUUAAAUAGAGAGUUACAAAUGCAGUUAAAUACAGAGAUCAUCAUGCUAGUCAUUGCACUUGGCAGUUUCAAUUGAUCCUCUACUAGAUUUUCUGGUAUUUUACAUUUUGUUAAAAACAUUAAAAAACAACAACAACUUUUGUCUGAUUUUCAUGAAAUUUGGUACAGAGGACUUUUAAGGUGUGCCGGUUGAAUAUUAUUAGAAAUGGUUUUAUACAUCAAAUCAUUCCCGUGAAACGCACCGAUGAAUCUGAUGCCAAGUGAAGCCAUGCAAUCAAACCCUUUGACCUAUUUACAUGCAUUUUGUUAGAUGUUAUUGUCAUAAUGCAUAAUUAUGAAUAUUGUUGAUUUGGCCUAAUUAAGUCAGGAAAUAUAUUUUUUUUUACAAAUUUAAAUAUACAUACAUAAUUUUUA